rnacentral:rRNA from 1 species
UGAACGCUGGCGGCAGGCCUAACACAUGCAAGUCGAACGGCAGCACAGAAGAGCUUGCUCUUUGGGUGGCGAGUGGCGGACGGGUGAGUAAUGUCUGGGAAACUGCCCGAUGGAGGGGGAUAACUACUGGAAACGGUAGCUAAUACCGCAUAACGUCGCGAGACCAAAGUGGGGGACCUUCGGGCCUCACACCAUCGGAUGUGCCCAGAUGGGAUUAGCUAGUAGGUGGGGUAAUGGCUCACCUAGGCGACGAUCCCUAGCUGGUCUGAGAGGAUGACCAGCCACACUGGAACUGAGACACGGUCCAGACUCCUACGGGAGGCAGCAGUGGGGAAUAUUGCACAAUGGGCGCAAGCCUGAUGCAGCCAUGCCGCGUGUAUGAAGAAGGCCUUCGGGUUGUAAAGUACUUUCAGCGGGGAGGAAGGCGGUGAGGUUAAUAACCUCGCCGAUUGACGUUACCCGCAGAAGAAGCACCGGCUAACUCCGUGCCAGCAGCCGCGGUAAUACGGAGGGGUGCAAGCGUUAAUCGGAAUUACUGGGCGUAAAGCGCACGCAGGCGGUCUGUUAAGUCAGAUGUGAAAUCCCCCGGGCUUAACCUGGGAACUGCAUUUGAAACUGGCAGGCUUGAGUCUCGUAGAGGGGGGUAGAAUUCCCAGGUGUAGCGGUGAAAUGCGUAGAGAUCUGGAGGAAUACCGGUGGCGAAGGCGGCCCCCUGGACGAAGACUGACGCUCAGGUGCGAAAGCGUGGGGAGCAAACAGGAUUAGAUACCCUGGUAGUCCACGCCGUAAACGAUGUCGACUUGGAGGUUGUGCCCUUGAGGCGUGGCUUCCGGAGCUAACGCGUUAAGUCGACCGCCUGGGGAGUACGGCCGCAAGGUUAAAACUCAAAUGAAUUGACGGGGGCCCGCACAAGCGGUGGAGCAUGUGGUUUAAUUCGAUGCAACGCGAAGAACCUUACCUGGCCUUGACAUCCAGAGAACUUAGCAGAGAUGCUUUGGUGCCUUCGGGAACUCUGAGACAGGUGCUGCAUGGCUGUCGUCAGCUCGUGUUGUGAAAUGUUGGGUUAAGUCCCGCAACGAGCGCAACCCUUAUCCUUUGUUGCCAGCGGCUCGGCCGGGAACUCAAAGGAGACUGCCGGUGAUAAACCGGAGGAAGGUGGGGAUGACGUCAAGUCAUCAUGGCCCUUACGGCCAGGGCUACACACGUGCUACAAUGGCGCAUACAAAGAGAAGCGACCUCGCGAGAGCAAGCGGACCUCAUAAAGUGCGUCGUAGUCCGGAUUGGAGUCUGCAACUCGACUCCAUGAAGUCGGAAUCGCUAGUAAUCGUAGAUCAGAAUGCUACGGUGAAUACGUUCCCGGGCCUUGUACUCACCGC